rnacentral:lncRNA from 1 species
AAAGACAUGCUUGAUGAAAAUAAUCUUGUUUACCACAAUUAUGUGGAUGUCUACAUGCAAUGCAUAAUUGGCACAGCAACAACAAACAUGGGAGUAUUCAGUCUUGUACCUCCGCCCCCAUGUUUGUUGACUUACUGUGCAUAAUAACUGGGACUGGGACCGUAACAGGAUCUGAGAAUAGAGCUCUUAGUAUCUGAAACAUUUUCUAAGUGAGGCAUCUGUCUCUAACAGCAACUGCUGGAGAGUGCAGUAGCCGCUGAUUCCAUUGGCAAAAGCUCACAGUUUGAAAAGCAAAAAUAUGACUAGGAAGGGACACAAAGUAUGCUCUCCAACUGUCAGAAAAUAAAACUAGUAACAUAAAAAAAGGGCCUCUUAUUUUAUUCCUCAAUUUAUCAUCAAAUAAUUGUUUCGACUGUGAGGAAAGGCAGACUGUGACCCUGAUAUGAAGCUAUUUGGGGAGGAAUUUAGCUUCACA